CCUACGGGAGGCAGCAGUGGGGAAUUUUGGACAAUGGGCGCAAGCCUGAUCCAGCAAUGCCGCGUGCAGGAAGAAGGCCUUCGGGUUGUAAACUGCUUUUGUCAGGGAAGAAAUCUUCUGGGCUAAUAUCCCGGGAGGAUGACGGUACCUGAAGAAUAAGCACCGGCUAACUACGUGCCAGCAGCCGCGGUAAUACGUAGGGUGCGAGCGUUAAUCGGAAUUACUGGGCGUAAAGCGUGCGCAGGCGGCUUUGCAAGACAGAGGUGAAAUCCCCGGGCUCAACCUGGGAACUGCCUUUGUGACUGCAAGGCUAGAGUACGGCAGAGGGGGAUGGAAUUCCGCGUGUAGCAGUGAAAUGCGUAGAUAUGCGGAGGAACACCGAUGGCGAAGGCAAUCCCCUGGGCCUGUACUGACGCUCAUGCACGAAAGCGUGGGGAGCAAACAGGAUUAGAUACCCUGGUAGUCCACGCCCUAAACGAUGUCAACUGGUUGUUGGACGGCUUGCUGUUCAGUAACGAAGCUAACGCGUGAAGUUGACCGCCUGGGGAGUACGGCCGCAAGGUUGAAACUUAAAGGAAUUGACGG
rnacentral:rRNA from 1 species